rnacentral:rRNA from 1 species
AGAGUUUGAUCCUGGCUCAGGACGAACGCUGGCGGCGCGCCUAACACAUGCAAGUCGAACGAGCGAGAGAGAGCUUGCUUUCUCGAGCGAGUGGCGAACGGGUGAGUAACGCGUGAGGAACCUGCCUCAAAGAGGGGGACAACAGUUGGAAACGACUGCUAAUACCGCAUAAGCCCACGGUGCCGCAUGACACUGAGGGAAAAGGAUUUAUUCGCUUUAGGAUGGACUCGCGUCCAAUUAGCUAGUUGGUGAGGUAACGGCCCACCAAGGCGACGAUUGGUAGCCGGACUGAGAGGUUGAACGGCCACAUUGGGACUGAGACACGGCCCAGACUCCUACGGGAGGCAGCAGUGGGGGAUAUUGCACAAUGGGGGAAACCCUGAUGCAGCGACGCCGCGUGGAGGAAGAAGGUUUUCGGAUUGUAAACUCCUGUCGUUAGGGACGAUAAUGACGGUACCUAACAAGAAAGCACCGGCUAACUACGUGCCAGCAGCCGCGGUAAAACGUAGGGUGCAAGCGUUGUCCGGAAUUACUGGGUGUAAAGGGAGCGCAGGCGGGAAGACAAGUUGGAAGUGAAAACCAUGGGCUCAACCCAUGAAUUGCUUUCAAAACUGUUUUUCUUGAGUAGUGCAGAGGUAGAUGGAAUUCCCGGUGUAGCGGUGGAAUGCGUAGAUAUCGGGAGGAACACCAGUGGCGAAGGCGGUCUACUGGGCACCAACUGACGCUGAGGCUCGAAAGCAUGGGUAGCAAACAGGAUUAGAUACCCUGGUAGUCCAUGCCGUAAACGAUGAUUACUAGGUGUUGGGGGAUUGACCCCCUCAGUGCCGCAGUUAACACAAUAAGUAAUCCACCUGGGGAGUACGACCGCAAGGUUGAAACUCAAAGGAAUUGACGGGGGCCCGCACAAGCAGUGGAGUAUGUGGUUUAAUUCGAAGCAACGCGAAGAACCUUACCAGGUCUUGACAUCCGAUGCAUAGCACAGAGAUGUGUGAAAUCCUUCGGGACAUCGAGACAGGUGGUGCAUGGUUGUCGUCAGCUCGUGUCGUGAGAUGUUGGGUUAAGUCCCGCAACGAGCGCAACCCUUAUUGCCAGUUACUACGUUAAGAGGACUCUGGCGAGACUGCCGUUGACAAAACGGAGGAAGGUGGGGAUGACGUCAAAUCAUCAUGCCCUUUAUGACCUGGGCUACACACGUACUACAAUGGCGUUAAACAAAGAGAAGCAAGACCGCGAGGUGGAGCAAAACUCAAAAACAACGUCUCAGUUCAGAUUGCAGGCUGCAACUCGCCUGCAUGAAGUCGGAAUUGCUAGUAAUCGCGGAUCAGCAUGCCGCGGUGAAUACGUUCCCGGGCCUUGUACUCACCGCCCGUCA